rnacentral:rRNA from 1 species
GAUGAACGCUGGCGCCGUGCCUAAUACAUGCAAGUCGAGCGAACGGACGAGAAGCUUGCUUCUCUGAUGUUAGCGGCGGACGGGUGAGUAACACGUGGAUAACCUACCUAUAAGACUGGGAUAACUUCGGGAAACCGGAGCUAAUACCGGAUAAUAUUUUGAACCGCAUGGUUCAAAAGUGAAAGACGGUCUUGCUGUCACUUAUAGAUGGAUCCGCGCUGCAUUAGCUAGUUGGUAAGGUAACGGCUUACCAAGGCAACGAUGCAUAGCCGACCUGAGAGGGUGAUCGGCCACACUGGAACUGAGACACGGUCCAGACUCCUACGGGAGGCAGCAGUAGGGAAUCUUCCGCAAUGGGCGAAAGCCUGACGGAGCAACGCCGCGUGAGUGAUGAAGGUCUUCGGAUCGUAAAACUCUGUUAUUAGGGAAGAACAUAUGUGUAAGUAACUGUGCACAUCUUGACGGUACCUAAUCAGAAAGCCACGGCUAACUACGUG